rnacentral:rRNA from 1 species
AUUGAACGCUGGCGGCAGGCUUAACACAUGCCAGUCGAGCGGCGAUGAGGUGCUUGCACCUUAUCUUAGCGGCGGACGGGUGAGUAAUGCUUAGGAAUCUGCCAUUUAGUGGGGGAUAACAAUUCGCAAGGGAUGCUAAUACCGCAUACGUCCUACGGGUGAAAGCGGGGGAUAUUCGGACCCUGCGCUAAAUGAUGGGCCUAAGUCGGAUUAGCGAGUUGGUGGGGUAAAGGCCUACCAAGGCGACGAUCUGUAGCGGGUCCGAGAGGAUGAUCCGCCACACUGGGACUGGGACACGGCCCAGACCCCUACGGGAGGCAGCAGUGGGGAAUAUUGGACAAUGGGCGGAAGCCUGAUCCAGCCAUGCCGCGUGUGUGAAGAAGGCCUUUUGGUUGUAAAGCACUUUAAGCGAGGAGGAGGCUCUCCUAGUUAAUACCUAGGAAGAGUGGACGUUACUCGCAGAAUAAGCACCGGCUAACUCUGUGCCAGCCGCCGCCGUAACAC